GACGAACGCUGGCGGCGUGCUUAACACAUGCAAGUCGAGCGGUAAGGCCCUUUCGGGGGUACGACGAGCGGCGAACGGGUGAGUAACACGUGGGUGACCUGCCCUCAGCUCUGGGACUAAGCCUGGGAAACUGGGUCGUAAAUACUGGAUAUGACUCCACGGUGCAUGUCGUGGGGUGAAAGCCUUGUGCGGCUGAGGAUGGGCCCGCGGCC
rnacentral:rRNA from 1 species